rnacentral:lncRNA from 1 species
AUUGAUAAUUGAUCUAAUGCAAAUGUUGCAUUAUGUAACUUACUAAAGAGUUAGUGAGUUAUAGGAGGAUUAAUUAGUAAUAAGAUUGCUAAUUGGUUUAAUUUGAUUGAGCAAUGGGGCUUGCAUCAAGUCCAAUUUGAUUGGAUUUAAUUUGACUCAUUAUGGGUUUGAUGUGAUCAACCCCAAUAGGAUUAUAGGAUAACCCCAAAAGGAUCGGAUGAUUAGUCCCAGUUGAAUUAGGAUUUGGGUUUGACCCAAUUCUUAAUUAGACUAGGAUAUAUGAAUUUCUUUUUGGACUAGGAAUCCUUAUUUUCUUGGGUGCACUAAAUCCUAAUUGGAUUAUAAUUAAAAAAUUGAGUUUGACUCAAGCACCAAGAAAGAGUCCAAUAGGACUAGGACUCCUCCAUUUAGGAGACAUCUAAUCUAAAUUAAUUGGGCUCCAAAUCAGAUUUGGAUUCCUAUUUAUUUGAGUCUAAUCUGGUCCUAAUAUGAUUAGGAUUAAUUGAUGUUUUAAUUGGAUUUAAAACAGCAAUUUAAACAAGAGUCCCA